rnacentral:lncRNA from 1 species
AGUAUGAAUCACCAUAACAUGAGUUAAAACUUUACCUGACCAUCGUGAUUCACGUCGUGAGAUAUUUUCUGAUUUUUCCGAAAUCUUGAAUUCUUUGAUCUUUGUCAAUUCGCUUCGAUUUUUCAAGACUCCGACUCACUUCACGAAACUUGCCAAUACAAAAUCCUUAACAAUCUCCCCCUUUGGCAAUUUCGUGACAAAACUCACACAAACUCAAAAAAAUACAAUUUAAAGAAAAACGAAGUUCAAUUGUCAUCACCAAAACAUUGAACUCCUCGCGUGUAAUCCAAAUACAAUAUGAAACUCAGAAUUACAUCAAAACUUCUAAAACAGACUCUAUGACUUAGACGCAAUUAAGA